rnacentral:misc_RNA from 1 species
UUUCCGUAGGUGAACCUGCGGAAGGAUCAUUCAUAAUAAAGUGUUUUAUGGCACUUUUUAAAAAUCCAUAUCCACCUUGUGUGCAAUGUUAGAUCUCGUCAAUCUUGGCGAGAUUUUUAUACAUCAACUCAUUUUUUAACUAAUUUGUCUGAAAAAUAUUAUGAAUACUUAAUUCAAAAUACAACUCUCAACAACGGAUCUCUUGGCUCUC